UGAACUUAGAGUGGAUCAUCUGGAACUCCCCGAACGCCACAACAAACGCACCGCAUAGCUCCAACACACAGAGGAGAGACAAAGACACCUCAUAAUAUGUGGUAUUAUGUAGGACACCACUGUUUGAUAUGACAACACUGAGCCAUGAGGCACAAUGGACACCAGUAACCUAUUCAGGAUCCAGUUAAUCAUUAUUACCUGCUCUUAUCUACAGAUCAACCAUUUGUUGCAAUGUUAACUGAUGAUAGACUGGGAGGAGGAGGAAAGAGAACUGAGGACUCUUUCUGCCAACUGGCAGGAAGAACCUACAUGAGCAACACUAAAGAGGAGGGGCGUCCAC